rnacentral:rRNA from 1 species
GCUUGCUUCUCUGAUGGUUAGCGGCGGACGGGUGAGUAACACGUAGGCAACCUGCCUGUAAGACUGGGAUAACUACCGGAAACGGUAGCUAAUACCGGAUAAUUGAUUUUCCUGCAUGGGAGGAUCAUGAAAGAUGGAGCAAUCUAUCACUUACAGAUGGGCCUGCGGCGCAUUAGCUAGUUGGUGGGGUAAUGGCUCACCAAGGCGACGAUGCGUAGCCGACCUGAGAGGGUGAACGGCCACACUGGGACUGAGACACGGCCCAGACUCCUACGGGAGGCAGCAGUAGGGAAUCUUCCGCAAUGGACGAAAGUCUGACGGAGCAACGCCGCGUGAGUGAUGAAGGUUUUCGGAUCGUAAAGCUCUGUUGCCAGGGAAGAACGUCCGGUAGAGUAACUGCUACCGGAGUGACGGUACCUGAGAAGAAAGCCCCGGCUAACUACGUGCCAGCAGCCGCGGUAAUACGUAGGGGGCAAGCGUUGUCCGGAAUUAUUGGGCGUAAAGCGCGCGCAGGCGGCUGUUUAAGUCUGGUGUUUAAUCCUGGGGCUCAACCCCGGGUCGCACUGGAAACUGGACAGCUUGAGUACAGAAGAGGAGAGUGGAAUUCCACGUGUAGCGGUGAAAUGCGUAGAUAUGUGGAGGAACACCAGUGGCGAAGGCGACUCUCUGGGCUGUAACUGACGCUGA